GAUGAACGCUAGCGGGAGGCCUAACACAUGCAAGCCGAGCGGUAUUUAUUCUUCGGAAUAGAGAGAGCGGCGUACGGGUGCGGAACACGUGUGCAACCUGCCUUUAUCAGGGGGAUAGCCUUUCGAAAGGAAGAUUAAUACCCCAUAAUAUAUUGAUUGGCAUCAAUUGAUAUUGAAAACUCCGGUGGAUAAAGAUGGGCACGCGCAAGAUUAGAUAGUUGGUGAGGUAACGGCUCACCAAGUCGAUGAUCCUUAGGGGGCCUGAGAGGGUGAUCCCCCACACUGGUACUGAGACACGGACCAGAAUCCUACGGGAGGCAGCAGUGAGGAAUAUUGGACAAUGGGUGAGAGCCUGAUCCAGCCAUCCCGCGUGAAGGACGACGGUUCUAUGGAUUGUAAACUUCUUUUAUAUAGGGAUAAACCUACUUACGUGUAAGUAGCUGAAGGUACUAUAUGAAUAAGCACCGGCUAACUCCGUGCCAGCAGCCGCGGUAA
rnacentral:rRNA from 1 species